GACGAACGCUGGCGGCGUGCCUAAUACAUGCAAGUAGAACGCUGAAGGAGGAGCUUGCUUCUCUGGAUGAGUUGCGAACGGGUGAGUAACGCGUAGGUAACCUGCCUGGUAGCGGGGGAUAACUAUUGGAAACGAUAGCUAAUACCGCAUAAUAGUAGAUGUUGCAUGACAUUUGCUUAAAAGGUGCAAUUGCAUCACUACUAGAUGGACCUGCGUUGUAUUAGCUAGUUGGUGAGGUAACGGCUCACCAAGGCGACGAUACAUAGCCGACCUGAGAGGGUGAUCGGCCACACUGGGACUGAGACACGGCCCAGACUCCUACGGGAGGCAGCAGUAGGGAAUCUUCGGCAAUGGACGGAAGUCUGACCGAGCAACGCCGCGUGAGUGAAGAAGGUUUUCGGAUCGUAAAGCUCUGUUGUAAGAGAAGAACGAGUGUGAGAGUGGAAAGUUCACACUGUGACGGUAUCUUACCAGAAAGGGACGGCUAACUACGUG
rnacentral:rRNA from 1 species